rnacentral:rRNA from 1 species
UACCAGCACCCCGAGUGGUCGGGACGAUUAUUGGGCCUAAAGCAUCCGUAGCCGGUUCUACAAGUCUUCCGUUAAAUCCAACUGCUCAACAGGUGGGCUGCGGAGGAUACUACAGAGCUAGGAGGCAGGAGAGGCAAGCGGUACUCAGUGGGUAGGGGUAAAAUCCGUUGAUCCAUUGAAGACCACCAGUGGCGAAGGCGGCUUGCCAGAAUGCGCUCGACGGUGAGGGAUGAAAGCUGGGGGAGCAAACCGG